rnacentral:rRNA from 1 species
GAUGAACGCUGGCGGCGUGCUUAACACAUGCAAGUCGAACGGACAGGCCAUGCUUUUGUGGGGUGCUCGAGUGGCGAACGGGUGAGUAACACGCGAGUAAAAUGUCCCUGUCUUUGGGAUAAAUUCUGGAAACUGGGGCGAUUACCGGAUAGGAGAUACUGCUGCAUGUGGGGGGUUGGAAAGUUUCGGCGUUUGGGGAUGGUCUCGAGGGUUAUCCGCUUGUUUGUGUGGUAGUGGCUUACAAAGGCUUCGACGGGUAGCCGGCCUGGGAGAGUGACCGGGCACAUUGGGACUGAGAUACGGACCAGACUGCUACGGGAGGCAACAGUGGGGAGUCUUGCGGAGUGGGCGGAAGCCAGAUACAGCGGUGUCGCGUGCGUGAUGCCGGCCUUCGGGUUGUAAACCGCUUUCGCCUGUGACGAAGCGUGAGUGACGGUAAUGGGUAAAGAAGCAACGGCUAACUACGUG